rnacentral:rRNA from 1 species
CCGCGGUAAUACGUAGGUGGCAAGCGUUAUCCGGAAUUAUUGGGCGUAAAGCGCGCGCAGGUGGUUUCUUAAGUCUGAUGUGAAAGCCCACGGCUCAACCGUGGAGGGUCAUUGGAAACUGGGAGACUUGAGUGCAGAAGAGGAAAGUGGAAUUCCAUGUGUAGCGGUGAAAUGCGUAGAGAUAUGGAGGAACACCAGUGGCGAAGGCGACUUUCUGGUCUGUAACUGACACUGAGGCGCGAAAGCGUGGGGAGCAAACAGGAUUA